rnacentral:lncRNA from 1 species
GAAAUAUUCCCCUGAUUGUGUAGUUUCUAAUCUGCAGCAACUUUAGUCUGUUCUACAACAGUUUUGUGUCUGUCUGUGUCUUAGUCAGGACAGUUCAUCCCAUGUGUCCCGGUGGGUCUACGAUGGGAGUGGAGGAGACAAGAUGGACAUGACUGUCACAGCCAGUACAACCGUCUUCUGAAUGUUGUUGACAUUAGAGGAAAUGGCUUCCUGGAUUCUAAGCAGCUGAUUGGAGCUCUGAACCCUCCCUCUCGUCAGGGGAAAACAGCUGUUUUCAAUUACCAACUCCUUCUCCAGCUGGAUAAAAGCCAGUGUUCCUUUUCAGGAGAAGAGAGAGUUUCUUUAAUGUCCUAUUUUGGUUGUUGCCCAGUAACAGUUUUGUUGAAAGUAUUUUGUUGCUGCUACUUCUGAGGUAUGUGUAUUCCUAAAGGACUGUGUUUUUGAUGAUUGAAAUUGUUCACUUUGUUAGUAAUUAUGUUUUUGUUCCCGGGGGAUGAAGGCACCUUGGGAGUGCUUAGGCAAGAGGCCUGCAGGCAUACAUAACCUGUAGUAUUUACUGUCUAUGCACACUAUGUAAGACCUGGGCGGACCACACCCUGUAUUUUGGUUAGCGCACCAGGAGGUGCUAAAAGGUUAGAUAAGUAGUGGGUAGCAAGGUAAGGUAGGAGAGGGACUCUAACUUUCUUUGCGUUGGUUCCAUCCAGCCCCUUUUCCCCACAUUACCCUGUUAAGGAAAUAAAUUCCCUGUAAACGGUAAUAUUCUCUGCCUCUGUCAUCCUUACCCGCACCUACAAUCACAUACCUCUUUCACUCCACGGGGAGUUGAGUGUAGCAGGGUGUUGC